rnacentral:lncRNA from 1 species
CGUGAAUCUACAAGAAAGUAAAUAACACAAGAUGUAUCGUGGUUCACCCCAAUGUUUGAGUUACGUCCACACUGAUAUUGUAUUUCUCUGAGAUGUGAGAGGAUGAGAGGGUGAAAGCUUCUGAGGGUGAGAGAGCUCUUCCCAUGGCCUAAGAAUUGGCCUCCCUUAAUGAGGAGAGUGAGGGGUCCUUUUAUAAAAUAAGGGCUCCUCACUUAUUACAUAUUUGCCCCUUCCUUUAUUACAUAAUUACAUUUGAGUCCCUCGAGUAUUUAUACGAGAUCUAAAUACGGAGGCCCUAAGUAUGGUACAAACAAAUUUGUUGCUCAAACUUUUGCUUGUCAAGUAAAUUACAAGGCAUAUCAGUUGUUUUAAUAGUUAAAUCUAGAUUAAUAAUAUGGAAAACUAAUUAAAAUGGUUUGAAAACUUUGAGUUUUAACGAUAAGGACAAAAUAAAGGGUAAAGUGAAUAGUAUCAUGUUUGACUUUUUAAUGUAAACAUGUGGGUUUUCGUUAAAGUAAACAGUACCGCGGGCUUUUCGUUAAAACUCCCUUAAUAAUAUCUAAUUAUGCUAAUAUUUUAUUUUUACUCCAAUAUAAUUGAGGGUUUUUUUCCUAUAAUUUUAGUUUGUUCUGCUAAUUGUAAUAAUUCUUCCAUACUCUUUGGUCUAUCUAAUUGUAAUCUAAAUGUGUUCCUUCUUCUAAAACUGGAUAAUUAUGUUCAAAUAUUUCUUCAUCAAAUUCUUCUAUAUUAUUAUGCUCAUCAAUUUCUUUUGCAUUUUCUAAAUAAUAAUUAUUUUGAAUACUAGAUUCUUCUAUACUUAUGCUUUUUCGUCAGUGAUUGUAAUAUCUUUCUUGAAAAAUGUUAUGUUAGGAUUCAUAAACAAAAAAACCUUGCAAACUUUUCAGAAAAUUUAAACCUAAAAUAAAUGAAUAUGAUCCUACUGGUGAAACAAAUGUUAGUGGUAAAUUAAAUUGUUGUUUCUUUACUUUAAGGGACUCGUUAUUAAUACAAUGUGUUAAAUAAAUUGGUCUCUCAUCAAACUAUGUUAUUCUAACUAGUUUUGCUAAUUUAUGUCUAUAUUGUACCGAUACUCAUUCUUUUCUUAUGACACUUUUAGUAAUUUACUGUUGUUUAUAUUUUGUAAUCUUUUGCUAAUUCUAUUUCACCAUUUAUGGUAAUUAAAGAUUUUUUUUUUUUGGUUUUUUCUAUACUAUGAACAAUAUUUCCUAAUAUUUAAGUACUCACCUCUAAUUCUCUAAAUUAACUUCUAAUAACCUAUUAUUAUAACAUUUUCACACAGUAUUGAAUAUGUAUUAUAAUAUUUAUUUGCUACUAACUUACUACACUUAUGAUACUUCUUUGACUAACCUAAAUUAAUGUAUUUAUAUUCUUUUUCAUGUUCAUUUUUUUUAAUGCACACAUAUAUUCUUCUAAAUCACUGUCUAAAUUACUGGAAUCUUCUAAAUAUGAAUCUAUCAUUUUAAUACUCUCUAUACUAUAAAUACUCUCAUUAUCACUGAAAUCAUACAAACUAUAUAUUGACUGAAUAUCUUCUUCUAAUUUAAACAACUUUGUUAAAUGUACUUUUAUCUCUUUGUUGGUUGCCUAGUUUUGGACACUUGGGUCUAAUAUGUCCAAUUGCUCCACAUAAAUAUAUAACAUUUACAACUACUUUUAUCUUUUUGUGCUUUAUAUUUUCUUAUCCAAUGUCUGCCACUUCUUUGCCAAAAUUGUUUGGGAAUAUAUUUUCUUUUUCUGUAUGUUCUCGAAUGUCUUAUGCUAAAAUUUUUAUGUUGUUUAUAUAUGGUUUGUAUGACUUAUAUUUCUUUUACUAUAUUUUCUUAUACUUAUUUUUCUUAUGACAACCAUACUAUUGUGGUAAAUAGAUAUUUUUACAACUCAUAUAAAAUUCUUUUUUAAUUUGUCUCUUAACUUUUAUUUGACUAUUUCUUGUCUGAGUAUAUCAUAUACAUGUUAAGUUCUAGAUCAUGUUGGAUACUUUUGCCAUUCAUUCCAAAUUUCUUUCCUAUUGGUCCUUUUAUUUUUGUCAUAUAAGUAUCUAAUAAAUUAAUAUCACUAAUUCUACUUGUUCUUUCUAAAUAUUUAAAGAAAUCUUAUGUAUAUUAAGUUAUAUACUGUAAAUCACAAAUUUGUAAUGUUCUAAAUUUCUUAUAGCUCUUAUUUGUUAUUAUUCACUUCUGCCAUCUAAUUUAGUAUGGUCUAAAGAUUCUUGCCUUGAUUAAAGUAACAAGGUCGUCUAUAUUAAGUGUGUUUUAGCUACCUCAUGUUGUUUUGGAUUUUGAACUAUCCAUGCUUGAAAAUAAUCAAAUAUUAAGCCAUCUAAAAUAUGUUCAAAAUAAUCUAACAUGUUUUGUAAAUUGUCAAAAUCUAACAUUAAUGCUGAAUUGUUACAACCCGUAAUUUAAAAUAUUGUAUUUUAUUCCUAAGAUGUGUGAAAUGACUAGUUUACCCCUGAGUGGUGUCUUAAUUAAUUUAUUGAGCCUCGACUUGAAAAUUAUAUCCUCGUACUUUCUUAAAUUUCAAAAGAUUAUUUUUCGUACGUAAGUUUUACGUCAAAAUCGAAUUACGAAUUGAGACCUUGAGGGCCUAAUUGUAAUUUUCUUAAUUAGUGAGGGGCAAUUUUGUAAUUUCACUUAAUGGGUUUAAGUGGGAUUGCAUAACUCGCGGUCCCUCUCUUUUCUCCCUCAGCUGAAACAUAACCCUCUCUCUAACUCUUGACACUCUCUCCUUCUCUCUCUAUGCUCCAAGAGCUCCCAUCCUUUUUUCUCUUCGAAUCCAUAACAAAUCGAACCCAAAAACAUUAAAAUCUUCAUCUCUGAGAUGAGAGGAACUUGAGGGUGCUUUUGCAUGCGCC